AGCGAACGCUGGCGGCAGGCCUAACACAUGCAAGUCGAACGAAGUCUUCGGACUUAGUGGCGGACGGGUGAGUAACACGUGGGAACGUGCCUUUAGGUUCGGAAUAACUCAGGGAAAUUUGUGCUAAUACCGAAUGUGCCCUUCGGGGGAAAGAUUUAUCGCCUUUAGAGCGGCCCGCGUCUGAUUAGCUAGUUGGUGAGGUAAAGGAUCACCAAGGCUACGAUCAGUAGCUGGGCUGAGAGGAUGACCAGCCACAUUGGGACUGAGACACGGCCCAAACUCCUACGGGAGGCAGCAGUGGGGAACCUUGCGCAAUGGGCGAAAGCCUGACGCAGCCAUGCCGCGUGGAUGAUGAAGGUCUUAGGAUUGUAAAAUCCUUUCACCGGUGAAGGUAAUGACUGUAGCCGGAGAAGAAGCCCCGGCUAACUUCGUGCCAGCCGCCGCCGUAAAAC
rnacentral:rRNA from 1 species